rnacentral:rRNA from 1 species
UGGGGAAUAUUGGCCAAUGGGGGCAACCCUGAUCCAGCGAUGCCGCGUGUGUGAAGAAGGCCUUCGGGUUGUAAAGCACUUUAGGUGGGGAAGAAGGUAUGGAGAUUAAGAGUCACCAUAUUUGACGGUACCCGCAGAAUAAGCACCGGCUAACUCUGUGCCAGCAGCCGCGGUAAUACAGAGGGUGCAAGCGUUAAUCGGAGUUACUGGGCGUAAAGGGCGCGUAGGUGGUUAUACAAGUGAGAUGCGAAAUCCCUGGGCUUAACCUAGGAACUGCAUUUUAGACUGUGUGACUGGAGUACAGUAGAGGGUAGUGGAAUUUCCGGUGUAGCGGUGAAAUGCGUAGAGAUCGGAAGGAACAUCAGUGGCGAAGGCGGCUACCUGGACUGAAACUGACACUGAGGCGCGAAAGCGUGGGGAGCAAACAGG